rnacentral:rRNA from 1 species
CAAUAUGAAGGUCAGGCUGAAGACCUUACCCGAUUAGCUGAGAGGUGGUGCAUGGCCGUCGUCAGUUCGUACUGUGAAGCAUCCUGUUAAGUCAGGGCAACGAGCGAGACCCACGUCCACAGUUGCCAGCAUACCCUCCGGGGUGAUGGGUACACUGUGGAGACCGCCGCUGCUAAGGCGGAGGAAGGAGUGGGCAACGGUAGGUCAGUAUGCCCCGAAUCUCCCGGGCUACACGCGGGCUACAAUGGUUGGUACAAUGAGCAUCUACCCCGAAAGGGGAAGGAAAUCUCUUAAAGCCAAUCGUAGUUCGGAUUGAGGGCUGCAACUCGCCCUCAUGAAGCUGGAAUCCGUAGUAAUCGCGUUUCAACAGAACGCGGUGAAUACGUCCCUGCUCCUU